rnacentral:rRNA from 1 species
UACGAAGGGGGCUAGCGUUGCUCGGAAUCACUGGGCGUAAAGGGUGCGUAGGCGGGUCUUUAAGUCAGGGGUGAAAUCCUGGAGCUCAACUCCAGAACUGCCUUUGAUACUGAAGAUCUUGAGUUCGGGAGAGGUGAGUGGAACUGCGAAGUGUAGAGGUGAAAUUCGUAGAUAUUCGCAAGAACACCAGUGGCGAAGGCGGCUCACUGGCCCGAUACUGACGCUGAUGCACGAAAGCGUGGGGAGCAAACAGG